rnacentral:tRNA from 1 species
GUCUGUGGCACCUGCGGCAGCCCAGGUGGUUUCGGGCUCAGCAACCUGCCCCUCACCACUU